rnacentral:rRNA from 1 species
CUCAGGACGAACGCUGGCGGCGUGCCUAAUACAUGCAAGUCGAACGCUUCUUUUUCCACCGGAGCUUGCUCCACCGGAAAAAGAGGAGUGGCGAACGGGUGAGUAACACGUGGGUAACCUGCCCAUCAGAAGGGGAUAACACUUGGAAACAGGUGCUAAUACCGUAUAACAAUCAAAACCGCAUGGUUUUGAUUUGAAAGGCGCUUUCGGGUGUCGCUGAUGGAUGGACCCGCGGUGCAUUAGCUAGUUGGUGAGGUAACGGCUCACCAAGGCCACGAUGCAUAGCCGACCUGAGAGGGUGAUCGGCCACAUUGGGACUGAGACACGGCCCAAACUCCUACGGGAGGCAGCAGUAGGGAAUCUUCGGCAAUGGACGAAAGUCUGACCGAGCAACGCCGCGUGAGUGAAGAAGGUUUUCGGAUCGUAAAACUCUGUUGUUAGAGAAGAACAAGGAUGAGAGUAACUGUUCAUCCCUUGACGGUAUCUAACCAGAAAGCCACGGCUAACUACGUGCCAGCAGCCGCGGUAAUACGUAGGUGGCAAGCGUUGUCCGGAUUUAUUGGGCGUAAAGCGAGCGCAGGCGGUUUCUUAAGUCUGAUGUGAAAGCCCCCGGCUCAACCGGGGAGGGUCAUUGGAAACUGGGAGACU